GACGAACGCUGGCGGCGUGCUUAACACAUGCAAGUCGAGCGGUAAGGCCCCUUCGGGGGUACACGAGCGGCGAACGGGUGAGUAACACGUGAGCAAUCUGCCCUUCACACAGGGAUAACCUCGGGAAACCGAAGCUAAUACCUGAUACGACCACUUCAGGCAUCUGAUGGUGGUGGAAAGUUCCGGCGGUGAAGGAUGAGCUCGCGGCCUAUCAGCUUGUUGGUGGGGUAAUGGCCUACCAAGGCAACGACGGGUAGCCGGCCUGAGAGGGUGACCGGCCACACUGGGACUGAGACACGGCCCAGACUCCUACGGGAGGCAGCAGUGGGGAAUAUUGGACAAUGGGCGAAAGCCUGAUCCAGCAACGCCGCGUGAGGGAUGACGGCCUUCGGGUUGUAAACCUCUUUCAGCAGGGAAGAAGCGCAAGUGACGGUACCUGCAGAAGAAGCACCGGCUAACUACGUGCCAGCAGCCGCCGUAAAAC
rnacentral:rRNA from 1 species